GACGAACGCUGGCGGCGUGCUUAACACAUGCAAGUCGUGCGGAAAGGCCCCUUUGGGGGUGCUCGAGCGGCGAACGGGUGAGUAACACGUGAGUAAUCUGCCCUGCACUUUGGGAUAACUGCCGGAAACGGUGGCUAAUACUGGAUAGGACUGCAUCCUGCAUGGGGUGUGGUGGAAAGCCUUUGGGUGGUGUGGGAUGUGCUCGCGGCCUAUCAGCUUGAUGGUGGGGUAGUGGCCUACCAUGGCUUUGACGGGUAGCCGGCCUGAGAGGUGACCGGUCACACUGGGACUGAGACACGGCCCAGACUCCUGCGGGAGGCAGCAGUGGGAAUAUUGGACAAUGGGCGGAAGCCUGAUCCAGCAACGCCGCGUGAGGGAUGACGGCC
rnacentral:rRNA from 1 species